rnacentral:rRNA from 1 species
UACGGAGGAUCCCAAGCGUUAUCCGGAUUAUUGGGUUUAAAGGGUGCGUAGGCGGCCUGUUAAGUCAGGUGAAAGACGGUAGCUCAACUAUCGCAGUGCCCUUGAUACUGACGGGCUUGAAUUGACUAGAGGUAGGCCGGAAUGUGACAAGUAGCGGUGAAUGCAUAGAUAUGUCACAGAACACCGAUUGCGAAGGCAGCCUUACUAUGGUCAUAUUGACGCUGAGCACGAAGCGUGGAUCAACAGG